rnacentral:ncRNA from 2 species
AUAGUGCGGCCGCUCGAUGGUGCGGGGUGGUGACGAGCCAACCCGCCGCCAAGAGGGAAUCCGGUGGGGGCGCCGUCCAGCGCCCGAGUCCGGAGCUGCCCCCGCAACUGUAAGCGGCGAGCGUGUGCCGUGAGGUUCAAGCCACUGGUGCCAAUCGGCAACCGGGAAGGCGACGGCACCCGCACCGACCCGCGAAGCCAGGAGACCUGCCGUCGAGCGCCGUCGUUU